rnacentral:lncRNA from 1 species
GUCCGAGUCUCCUCUGCUGUGGGCAGCUCAGACGCCGAAGCUCUAACUGCAGCUAUGAGCAGCAACGAAUGCUUCAAGUGUGGACGAUCUGGCCACUGGGCCAGGGAAUGCCCUACUGGUGGAGGUCGGGGUCGUGGAAUGAGAAGCCGCGGCAGAGGGUUCCAGUUUGUUUCCUCGUCUCUUCCUGACAUCUGUUAUCGCUGUGGUGAGUCUGGUCAUCUUGCCAAGGAUUGUGAUCUUCAGGAGGAUGGUAAGUGUUUAACACUUGACACUCUUGAGAGGUGAGUGUGUCCCUACACACAGCUUUGUAAGGUGUCCUAGCUUUGAGGGUUGUAGCAUGUGGUAUACAUACUAUUCUAUAAAGGUUUUAUAGUCUUGGUCUGCUUCUUUUCCUUAUUGUUGAAGCCUGCUAUAACUGCGGUAGAGGUGGCCACAUUGCCAAGGACUGCAAGGAGCCCAAGAGAGAGCGAGAGCAAUGCUGCUACAACUGUGGCAAGCCAGGCCAUCUGGCUCGUGACUGUGACCACGCGGACGAGCAGAAGUGCUAUUCCUGUGGGGAAUUUGGACAUAUUCAAAAAGACUGCACCAAGGUGAAGUGCUAUAGGUGUGGUGAAACUGGUCAUGUAGCCAUCAAUUGCAGCAAGACAAGUGAAGUCAACUGUUACCGCUGUGGCGAGUCAGGGCAUCUUGCACGGGAAUGCACAAUUGAGGCUACUGCCUAAUUAUUUUCCUUUGUCGCCCCUCCUUUUUCUGAUUGAUGGUUGUAUUAUUUUCUCUGAAUCCUCUUCACUGGCCAAAGGUUGGCAGAUAGAGGCUGUUCCCAGGCCAGUGAGCUUUACUUGCAGUGUAAAAGGAGGAAAGGGGUGGAAAAAAAACCGAAUUUCUGCAUUUAACUACAAAAA